UUUUUUGUUUUUUUUGUUUGUAUUUUAGGUUACUGAGAGUUCAAGAGUUGCAGAAAGUUAUUGACUGUUUUCAGAGUUGCAGAGAGUUGCAGAGAGUUGCAGAGAGUAAGUUGAUCUGCUUAAGAAGGCUGAAGUCAAGUAGUUUUUAAAUUAAAGCUACAAUGGAAUGAAACAGAUCUGCAUAAUUGGGAACAUAAUUGAACGCGGAAUAGGAAAGCUAUGGCUUAAUGAAAUUUCUAUAUAACAUUUUUGACACUUCCGUAGGUAUGCAACAUAAUUUUGUGGACAAUUCAUAAUACUCUUCCAUUGGGUGUAGCCAAAAUUUGAAGAGAAUCCAUAGUGAAUUAUGUAAGGAGUUGAUAAAGAA